AUUGAACGCUGGCGGCAGGCCUAACACAUGCAAGUCGAACGGUAGCACAGAGAGCUUGCUCUCGGGUGACGAGUGGCGGACGGGUGAGUAAUGUCUGGGAAACUGCCCGAUGGAGGGGGAUAACUACUGGAAACGGUAGCUAAUACCGCAUAACGUCGCAAGACCAAAGUGGGGGACCUUCGGGCCUCACACCAUCGGAUGUGCCCAGAUGGGAUUAGCUAGUAGGUGGGGUAAUGGCUCACCUAGGGGACGAUCCCUAGCUGGUCUGAGAGGAUGACCAGCCACACUGGAACAGAGAAACGGUCCAGACUCCUACGGGAGGCAGCAGUGGGGAAUAUUGCACAAUGGGCGCAAGCCUGAUGCAGCCAUGCCGCGUGUAUGAAGAAGGCCUUCGGGUUGUAAAGUACUUUCAGCGGGGAGGAAGGCGGUGAAGUUAAUAACUUCACCGAUUGACGUUACCCGCAGAAGAAGCACCGGCUAACUCCGUGCCAGCCGCCGCCGUAA
rnacentral:rRNA from 1 species